rnacentral:rRNA from 1 species
UACGUAGGGAGCGAGCGUUGUCCGGAUUCAUUGGGCGUAAAGAGCGCGCAGGCGGUUUGGUAAGUCGGAUGUGAAAACCCGGGGCUCAACCCCGGGCGUGCAUCUCGAUACUGCCCGACUAGAGGUAGGUAGGGGAGAUCGGAAUUCCUGGUGUAGCGGUGAAAUGCGCAGAUAUCAGGAGGAACACCGGUGGCGAAGGCGGAUCUCUGGGCCUUACCUGACGCUCAGGCGCGAAAGCUAGGGGAGCGAAUGGG